rnacentral:rRNA from 1 species
UGUGCCUACGGGACGCAGCAGUGAGGAAUAUUGGUCAAUGGGAGAGAUCCUGAACCAGCCAAGCCGCGUGAGGGAAGACGGCCCUAUGGGUUGUAAACCUCUUUUGUCGGAGAACAAAACCCGGGACGAGUCCCGGACUGCGUGUAUCCGAAGAAAAAGCAUCGGCUAACUCCGUGCCAGCAGCCGCGGUAAUACGGAGGAUGCGAGCGUUAUCCGGAUUUAUUGGGUUUAAAGGGUGCGUAGGCGGAAUGCCAAGUCAGUGGUAAAAUCGCGGGGCUGAACCUGGCUACGCCGUUGAAACUGGG